rnacentral:rRNA from 1 species
AAACUCAAAUGAAUUGACGGGGACCCGCACAAGCGGUGGAUGAUGUGGAUUAAUUCGAUGCAACGCGAAAAACCUUACCUACCCUUGACAUGUCCAGAAUCCUGCAGAGAUGCGGGAGUGCCCGAAAGGGAAUUGGAACACAGGUGCUGCAUGGCUGUCGUCAGCUCGUGUCGUGAGAUGUUGGGUUAAGUCCCGCAACGAGCGCAACCCUUAUCAUUAGUUGCUACGCAAGGGCACUCUAAUGAGACUGCCGGUGACAAACCGGAGGAAGGUGGGGAUGACGUCAAGUCCUCAUGGCCCUUAUGGGUAGGGCUUCACACGUCAUACAAUGGUCGGUACAGAGGGUUGCCAAGCCGCGAGGUGGAGCCAAUCCCAGAAAGCCGAUCGUAGUCCGGAUUGUUCUCUGCAACUCGAGAGCAUGAAGUCGGAAUCGCUAGUAAUCGCGGAUCAGCAUGUCGCGGUGAAUACGUUCCCGGGUCUUGUACACACCGCCCGUCACACCAUGGGAG